CAAAGGUUUGAGAAAAAUGAUAUGAAGCAAUUAAGAAAAUGAAGAGCAGAAAUGUAAACUGAAUCUUUUCUGUUGGCAUGAUUAUCUUUGUUACUCUUCGUUUGAUGAAGAUAAAUUAUAAGUUUUUUGGUUUAGAGCCAAAAUGGUUAUCUACAGUUAUAUACUUGAAAUUUUACUUUACCAAAAAAAAGAUAUAUAAACAUACCUAAAAUGUAAUUGACUAUUGCAGUAAUACUUUCCCAUGAAAAUCUUGCACUAUUUAUCACAACUAGAUUUUUUGACCAAAAAAAUAAUUUUAAAAUAUCUGGGUCCGCACAUAAUGCAUGCAAAAAAGAUCUAGUUGUUAUAAAUACUGCAAGAUUUUUAUGGGAUAUUAUUACUGCAAUAGUCAAUUAUAUUUUAAGUGUAUAUAUAUCUUAUUUCUUGUAAAGUAGAUUUGUAAAUAUAAAUUUUUAAUUUUAUAGUUGAGGGGUUUUAGUACCCUUCAACUAUUUUUGAAUCGUAAAAAAACUCUUAAUUAAUUUUAAAUCUUUAACCCUUCAAUUUAUAAAGUGUUAACAUUUGUCACUCUCUGUCUAUAAUUAUGUAACAAAAAGUGACAUACAUUAUUAGUUUGUAAGUUGAAGUAUUAAAACAAUAAAAAAAAUUUGAAAGAUUUUAUUUUGAUUGAAUAAUAGUUGAGAGUUUUAAUCACUGAAACACAUUUUGAAAUAAAUUGGUUUAUAUAAAGAGUAUAUAAGUUGAUUUUUCUCUGAUUAUCACAUGUUUCAUGUUGACUAAUAAAAAUUUGGCUUAGACAAAAUGAUUGUAAACUGUAAGUGGGACUAUGGUAGCUGAAGUACAGAAAGAACAUAAUUGUAAAGUCAGUUAAGGAAAAAUUGUUUAUCGGAUAACGUGGAUUCCAAGUAAGAAAAAAUUGAUUAGCAAUCAUUGCAGGAUUAUACAAAAAGAAGAUCGGAUCUACGGAAACUAGUGAAGAAAAAUAUUUAGAGAAUAACUUAGGGCGUUUGAUGGUAACUAUCAUCAUCAUCGGCAACCACAUCUUCACCAUCAAGCAUAUCCAUUUUUGUGUCCAUCUCUGCAUCACUCGAUCGCAUCAGCCAAAAGCUCACCAUCUUUACCACCCUUUUCUUCCACAACUUCAUCAUCAAAACCAUCCAACACAUUCUUAGUCUUGUUUAAUAUUCAAUUGUAAUAAAACCAUCGAAAUAAAAACUAGUUAAAAGGAGCAUCAUCUCAUGGAUCGGUAGAGAGGCCUGUACCAUACAACAUAAGAAAGUGGACAGCCCAUCAACACAUAGAUUGUGGAAAGGAAAAAGAUCUUCACACCUAUAUCAUUAAUAUAGAUUGGGGAAAGUAAAUCUGAAUCUGAAAAAGUAAAGUUGGAGGAGAAUAUAGAUUGGUUUUUGAAAACUCAAAAAUCAGAAACUGAUCAAUCGUUUUUUUUUUAAAGAAGGGAAAGUGACAGCUUAGUUAUGAAGGGUUGUGGUUAGGAGAGAGCGUAGUUAGAUUGAGGACAUAUAGGACAUUGCACAAAGAGAAAGUGUGUCUCCAGCAACAAGUGACCUAUUGUGUAAUUUGAAAGAUAAAAAGUGUCUUAAAGAGUAAAAAAUUCUUUUAUCAUGGAGUAUUUAUCUUUGUGUUACUAAAAUACUUCGAAAAUACAUUUGAAUAGAAAUCUCAGUAUGGAAAUAUGACCAUAUGAAAACAGAAAUACGAGUCAGCAAAUAAUAGUGGAGGGUACAAUGGAGCUGUUGAUGAGUGGCACGUAAUCACAUCUCAUGAAAGUGCGUAACGAAUCCUCUUUAAUUAGCUUGUGGGACCUAUUUACGACAUUGUUGAUCUCGACCUUUUGUGCUUUGUGUUCGUUUGACUUUUUGUUAAAGUAUAAACAUACCUAAAAUGUAAUUGACUAUUGCAGUAAUACUUUCCAUGAAAAUCUUGCACUAUUUAUCACAACUAGAUUUUUUGACCAAAAAAUAAUUUUAAAAUAUCUGGAUCCGCGCAUAACGCUUGCAAAAAAGAUCUAGUUGUUAUAAAUACUACAAUGUUUUCAUGGGAUAUUAUUACUGCAAUAGUCAAUUAUAUUUUAAGUGUAUAUAUAUAUAUAUAUAUAUAUAUAUAUAUAUAUAUAUAUCUUAUUUCUUGUAAAGUAGAUUUGUAAAUAUAAUUUUUUAAUUUUAUAGUUGAGGGGUUUUAGUACCCUUCAACUAUUUUUGAAUCGUAAUCAAGAUAUCUUAAUUAAUUUUAAAUCUUUAACCCUUCAAUUUACAAAGUGUUAACAUUUGUCACUCUCUGUCUAUAAUUAUUUAACAAAAAGUGACACACGUUAUUAGUUUGUAAGUUGAAGUAUUAAAACAAUAAAAAAAAUUUGAAAGAUUUUAUUUUGAUUGAAAAAUAGUUGAGAGUUUUAAUCACUGAAAUACAUUUUGAAAUAAAUUGGUUUAUAUAAAGAAUAUAUAAGUUGAUUUUUCUCUGAUUAUUAGAUGUUUCUUGUUGACUAAUAAAAAUUUGGCUUAGACAAAAUGAUUGUAAACUGUAGUAAGUGGGACUAUGGUAGCUGAAGUACAGAAAGAACAUAAUUGUAAAGAUUAUACAAAAAGAAGAUCGGAUCUGCGGAAACUAGUGAAGAAAAAUAUUUUUGAUGGUAACUACUCCCUCCGUUUCGCUAUGUAAGUAGUUUUGCUUAAAAGCACGGCUAUUAAGAAACUUCAACUUUUUCUAAAACAACAAUAAAAACGUUUUUGUAUUUAUUGCACACGUUCAUUUUGUCUGCAACAUUUAAUUAGAAAGAGAUUAUUGUUAGUAAUAAAAUUAAUAAAAAAUAAUAUCAACAAUCACACGUUUGAGUUUUCUAAAAACUUUUUUACAACAUUUUGGAGCCAAAUUUUUGUAUAACUAAUUUAAACUAAAAAAUCAAAAUUUUAUGAUGGAGCCAAAGUAAAACUUUUGAACAGUUUGUAAUAUGCUUAUUUAAGCUUCAAUUUCUUUGUCGGGAUGAAGCUCUCCAAUAUCAUAAUGCAUCUUGUUCAAGUCAAAUGGCCGAGUGAACAUCUGGAGGUUUGAUUGUGUUUUGUUGAUUUUUUUAACAUUUUCUGUUUUGUUUUCUUUUUGACUUUUUUCUUCAUUUUGAUCCAUAGUUUUAUGAAGAAAAAAUAGAUCGAAGAAAGUAAAUCAAAAAGAAAAACUAAUGGAGUAAGACAACAUUUACGGUGGUAUUUAUAGUGAAUUUAGAAAUAGAUUUUUUGGUAACUAGUAGUAAAUGUUAGUUGACUGACAUUGUAAGUUGUGUUUAAAAAAUUGAAAACUAACGACAAGGCCUUUAAGUUUUUUAGUGGAAUAUUGUAUA